rnacentral:piRNA from 1 species
UACAAGAUGAGAGGGCUGGACCAGAUGGA